UAGUGAGGUCUGCUCCGACCACAACCGUAAGGCUCUCCAGAGGGUAGUGAGGUCUGCUCCGCCCACAACCGUAAGGCUCUCCAGAGGGUAGUGAGGUCUGCUCCGCCCACAACCGUAAGGCUCUCCAGAGGGUAGUGAGGUCUGCUCCGCCCACAACCUUAAGGCUCUCCAGAGGGUAGUGAGGUCUGCUCCACCCACAACCGUAAGGCUCUCCAGAGGGUAGUGAGGUCUGCUCCGCCCACAACCGUAAGGCUCUCCAGAGGGUAGUGAGGUCUGCUCCGCCCACAACCUUAUGGCUCUCCAGAGGGUAGUGAGGUCUGCUCCGCCCACAACCGUAAGGCUCUCCAGAGGGUAGUGAGGUCUGCACCGACCACAACCGUAAGGCUCUCCAGAGGGUAGUGAGGUCUGCUCCGCCCACAACCGUAAGGCUCUCCAGAGGGUAGUGAGGUCUGCUCCGACCACAACCGUGAGGCUCUCCAGAGGGUAGUGAGGUCUGCUCCGCCCACAACCUUAAGGCUCUCCAGAGGGUAGUGAGGUCUGCUCCGACUACAACCUUAAGGCUCUCCAGAGGGUAGUGAGGUCUGCUCCGCCCACAACCGUAAGGCUCUCCAGAGGGUAGUGAGGUCUGCUCCGACCACAACCGUGAGGCUCUCCAGAGGGUAGUGAGGUCUGCUCCGCCCACAACCGUAAGGCUCUCCAGAGGGUAGUGAGGUCUGCUCCGCCCACAACCGUAAGGCUCUCCAGAGGGUAGUGAGGUCUGCUCCGACCACAACCGUAAGGCUCUCCAGAGGGUAGUGAGGUCUGCUCCGACCACAACCGUGAGGCUCUCCAGAGGGUAGUGAGGUCUGCUCCGCCCACAACCUUAAGGCUCUCCAGAGGGUAGUGAGGUCUGCUCCGCCCACAACCGUAAGGCUCUCCAGAGGGUAGUGAGGUCUGCUCCGCCCACAACCGUAAGGCUCUCCAGAGGGUAGUGAGGUCUGCUCCGACCACAACCGUAAGGCUCUCCAGAGGGUAGUGAGGUCUGCUCCGCCCACAACCGUAAGGCUCUCCAGAGGGUAGUGAGGUCUGCUCCGCCCACAACCUUAAGGCUCUCCAGAGGGUA